GAACCGGCGAGUUACGAUUUGAUGCAAGGUUAAGCAGUAAAUGUGGAGCCGUAGCGAAAGCGAGUCUGAAUAGGGCGUUUAGUAUUUGGUCGUAGACCCGAAACCAGGUGAUCUACCCUUGGUCAGGUUGAAGUUCAGGUAACACUGAAUGGAGGACCGAACCGACUUACGUUGAAAAGUGAGCGGAUGAACUGAGGGUAGCGGAGAAAUUCCAAUCGAACCUGGAGAUAGCUGGUUCUCUCCGAAAUAGCUUUAGGGCUAGCCUCAAGUGAUGAUUAUUGGAGGUAGAGCACUGUUUGGACGAGGGGCCCCUCUCGGGUUACCGAAUUCAGACAAACUCCGAAUGCCAAUUAAUUUAACUUGGGAGUCAGAACAUGGGUGAUAAGGUCCGUGUUCGAAAGGGAAACAGCCCAGACCACCAGCUAAGGUCCCAAAAUAUAUGUUAAGUGGAAAAGGAUGUGGCGUUGCCCAGACAACUAGGAUGUUGGCUUAGAAGCAGCCAUCAUUUAAAGAGUGCGUAAUAGCUCACUAGUCGAGUGACACUGCGCCGAAAAUGUACCGGGGCUAAACAUAUUACCGAAGCUGUGGAUUGUCCUUUGGACAAUGGUAGGAGAGCGUUCUAAGGGCGUUGAAGCAUGAUCGUAAGGACAUGUGGAGCGCUUAGAAGUGAGAAUGCCGGUGUGAGUAGCGAAAGACGGGUGAGAAUCCCGUCCACCGAUUGACUAAGGUUUCCAGAGGAAGGCUCGUCCGCUCUGGGUUAGUCGGGUCCUAAGCUGAGGCCGACAGGCGUAGGCGAUGGAUAACAGGUUGAUAUUCCUGUACCACCUAUAAUCGUUUUAAUCGAUGGGGGGACGCAGUAGGAUAGGCGAAG
rnacentral:rRNA from 1 species